rnacentral:rRNA from 1 species
GAUGAACGCUGGCGGCGGGCCUAACACAUGCAAGUCGAGCGGAGCGGCGGACGGGUGCGUAAUGCAUAGGAAUCUGCCUGGUCGUGGGGGAUAGCGUCCGGAAACGGGCGCUAAUACCGCAUCCUAUCAGAAGAGGCUAGGUCGGAUUAGCUAGUUGGUGGGGUAAAGGCCUACCAAGGCGACGAUCCGUAACUGGUCUGAGAGGAUGAUCAGUCACACUGGAACUGAGACACGGUCCAGACUCCUACGGGAGGCAGCAGUGGGGAAUAUUGGACAAUGGGCGAAAGCCUGAUCCAGCCAUGCCGCGUGUGUGAAGAAGGUCUUCGGAUUGUAAAGCACUUUAAGUUGGGAGGCGUUACCAACAGAAUAAGCACCGGCUAACUCCGUGCCAGCAGCCGCGGUAAUUC